UCAGCUCGUGCCGUGAGGUGUCGGGUUAAGUCCCAUAACGAGCGCAACCCUUAUCGUAGUUGCCAGCGGGUAAUGCCGGGAACUCUAGCGAAACUGCCGGUGUAAACCGUGAGGAAGGUGGGGAUGACGUCAAAUCAGCACGGCCCUUAUGUCCAGGGCUACACACGUGUUACAAUGGCCGGUACAGAGGGCAGCUACCUGGUGACAGGAUGCUAAUCUCGAAAACCGGUCUCAGUUCGGAUCGAAGUCUGCAACUCGACUUCGUGAAGCUGGAUUCGCUAGUAAUCGCGCAUCAGCUAUGGCGCGGUGAAUACGUUCCCGGGCCUU
rnacentral:rRNA from 1 species